UUUUGUCAUUUAAUCUCUUCUCUCUCCAGCUCCCCAGUUCAACGUAGGCUCCAUGUCUUCUGGGAAACUUGCCUGACCCCUGCUGUGCCUCGCUAGCAGCCCACAUUACUCUGAUGAGGGACUUCACUGUCUGUGAAUUUCUAGAGGGCAGGCCUGGUCUAACUCAGCUUCAUCUCUCCAGAGUCUAGCUCAUGGACUCUGCUCAAGGAGGCUUCUGCCGUGGCAAGUGAAGGUGGUUCUUCUGGAAGGGUCUGUCCUGCUGUGAAGGUAUUGAAACGAUGACCGUGAGAACAACGUUGCAACAUGGAAAAGUGCCUGUGACAAUAAGAGGACACAAGUCCGUAGAUUGGAGGGUUGCCAAGUGGAGAUAAAAGAGACAACUGAGAAUCCUCUUCAGCAUUGCUCAGGGAACCACUGGACUUUGUAUCUGUGGAAGAAGGGGGAAGAGAUCACUGACUGCAUUUCUGUCCCUGUGCUGAAAAGGAUGCUAUGUCAGAGAACCAUUCCAGCAAACUUCAAAGGGUUGAACUCACGCAGAGAGGGAACUGGAGACUGCUGACUGUGGUGUGUAAAGUCAUCGACUGAAGAGGACCAAGGAGCUUAUCUGAAGGAGGUACAUCCUUCAUCCUUUCCCCACUCAAGGGACUGAAACCGGGCUCCCCCACAGUGCCUGGCCCAUGGCUGGCCCUGGGCAUCUCACAUUCGUCGUUUGCAGCGAUAACAGAGGAGUGACAGUCUUGUGUGCAGGCCUGAAUGCCAGGGCAUCUCACAGAAGUUUCACUGCUGUGAUGGCAAAUUUUGUGUGUCAACUUGGUGAGGCCACGGUACCCCCUUGUCUGGUUAAAAACCAUCUAGACGUCGCUGUGGAGGUAUUUUUUAGGUGCGAUUGAUGUUUAAAUCAGUAGACUUUGAAUAAGGCGGAGCCGAUUACCCUCCAUAACAUGGGUGGGCCUCAUCCAAUCAGUUGAGGGCCUUAAGAGAAAAGACUGAGGUUUCCCGAAGAGGAAGGAAUUCUGCCUUCAGACUACAACAAAGAGAUUCUGCCUGAGGUUUUAGCCUUUGGACUCAAGACUACAACAUUGACUCCUGCUGGAAUUUCCAGGCUGCCAAGAUGCCCUGUAGAUUCUGGACUAUCUGUCUAUCUAUUUAUCUAUCUACCAUCUAGCUAGCUGGCUAUCUAUCUAUCUAUCAUCUAGCUAGCUGGCUA